AUGGGGGAACCCUGAUGCAGCGACGCCGCGUGANUGAAGAAGUAUCUCGNCUAUGUAAAGCUCUAUCAGCAGGGNAAGAAAAUGACGGUACCUGACUAAGAAGCACCGGCUAACUACGUGCCAGCAGCCGCGGUAAUACGUAGGGUGCAAGCGUUAUCCGGAAUUAUUGGGCGUAAAGGGCUCGUAGGCGGUUCGUCGCGUCCGGUGUGAAAGUCCAUCGCUUAACGGUGGAUCCGCGCCGGGUACGGGCGGGCUUGAGUGCGGUAGGGGAGACUGGAAUUCCCGGUGUAACGGUGGAAUGUGUAGAUAUCGGGAAGAACACCAAUGGCGAAGGCAGGUCUCUGGGCCGUCACUGACGCUGAGGAGCGAAAGCGUGGGGAGCGAACAGGAUUAGAUACCCUGGUAGUCCAAGGGCGAAUUC
rnacentral:rRNA from 1 species